rnacentral:rRNA from 1 species
UACAGAGGUCUCAAGCGUUGUUCGGAUUCAUUGGGCGUAAAGGGUGCGUAGGUGGCGCCGUAAGUCGGGUGUGAAAUUUCGGAGCUUAACUCCGAAACUGCAUUCGAUACUGCGGUGCUUGAGGACUGGAGAGGAGACUGGAAUUCAUGGUGUAGCAGUGAAAUGCGUAGAGAUCAUGAGGAAGACCAGUGGCGAAGGCGGGUCUCUGGACAGUUCCUGACGCUGAGACGCGAAGGCCAGGGGAGCAAACGGG